rnacentral:rRNA from 1 species
UUGAACGCUGGCGGCAGGCCUAACACAUGCAAGUCGAGCGGCAGCGUGGGGCAACCUGGCGGCGAGCGGCGGACGGGUGAGUAACGCGUAGGAAUCUACCCAGUAGCGGGGGAUAGCCCGGGGAAACUCGGAUUAAUACCGCAUACGCCCUAAGGGGGAAAGCAGGGGAUCUUCGGACCUUGCACUAUUGGCAGAGCCUGCGUUGGAUUAGCUAGUUGGUAGGGUAAAGGCCUACCAAGGCAACGAUCCAUAACUGGUCUGAGAGGAUGAUCAGUCACACCGGAACUGAGACACGGUCCGGACUCCUACGGGAGGCAGCAGUGGGGAAUAUUGGACAAUGGGGGCAACCCUGAUCCAGCCAUGCCGCGUGUGUGAAGAAGGCCUUCGGGUUGUAAAGCACUUUAAGUGGGGAGAAAGGUUCGGCAGUUAAUACCUGCCGGAAGUGAUGUUACCCACAGAAUAAGCACCGGCUAACUCUGUGCCAGCAGCCGCGGUAA